ACCCAGGCGCAUGGCUCCAUGAAGCAAGAGGAGGAGGCAGAGCGCGAGAGAUCCCGUCCGCCCCAGCCGCGUCUGGGCCAGGAGAAAAGCAAAACCAUAUUCCUGCUGCUGUCAGUUUUGAUGCACUGAGAAAACUUCAGAGACCUAAGCUUUUUCCAGAGAAGAGAAGCUUUACUGGUGUUCCAGCCCUAAGGCUCAUAUGACAUUAACAGACAAGACACUUUUCAGAAAGACAGACAGCUCUUCAAUCUUCAAGGGAACUGUGGAAGUAAACCAGGGGUGACAUGGAUUAUCAAAUAUUGUGGAUCAGAGUGGCUGUAUCAUUUUACUUUCCUACCAUCAGUAUUUGAGAAUUACAGUUGUUCUAAAUCAUCACCAACACAAAAGAUGAUGAGUAUUUUUAAUUGUAUUUAUUCUAGUAGGUGUGGAAUGGCAUCUCAUUUAAUUUGUAUUUCUCUAAUGGCUAAAGAUAUUGAACAUCUUUCGAUGUGAUUAUUUGCU
rnacentral:lncRNA from 10 species